rnacentral:rRNA from 1 species
CAGGGAGGUAGUGACAAGAAAUAAUAGACCGGCGUAAAGCCGGGGUUUUACAAUGAGCCUAAUUUACACAGCUUAGUGAGGAUCCAUUGGAGGGCAAGUCUGGUGCCAGCAGCCGCGGUAAUUCCAGCUCCAAUAGCAUAUAUUAAAAUUGCUGCAGUUAAAAAGCUCGUAGUUGGAUUUCUGUGAGACUUGUUUUGUUCGGCCUGCGGGUCGGGCGAAUCACUUUUCACAUCCUUCUGUUAACCUUACACUCCUUCACCGGUGUGUCUGUGGGCUCAGAUACUUUACCUUGAGUAAAUUAGAGUGUUUCAGGCAAGCUUUCGCUUGAAUACAUUAGCAUGGAAUAAUAGAAAAGGACUUCGUUUCAUUUCAUUGGUUAUGAGCGGAGUAAUGAUUAAUAGGGAUAGUUGGGGG